GCGAACGCUGGCGGCGUGCCUAAUACAUGCAAGUUGAGCGCUGAAGGUUGGUACUUGUACCAACUGGAUGAGCAGCGAACGGGUGAGUAACGCGUGGGGAAUCUGCCUUUGAGCGGGGGACAACAUUUGGAAACGAAUGCUAAUACCGCAUAAAAACUUUAAACACAAGUUUUAAGUUUGAAAGAUGCAAUUGCAUCACUCAAAGAUGAUCCCGCGUUGUAUUAGCUAGUUGGUGAGGUAAAGGCUCACCAAGGCGAUGAUACAUAGCCGACCUGAGAGGGUGAUCGGCCACAUUGGGACUGAGACACGGCCCAAACUCCUACGGGAGGCAGCAGUAGGGAAUCUUCGGCAAUGGACGAAAGUCUGACCGAGCAACGCCGCGUGAGUGAAGAAGGUUUUCGGAUCGUAAAACUCUGUUGGUAGAGAAGAACGUUGGUGAGAGUGGAAAGCUCAUCAAGUGACGGUAACUACCCAGAAAGGGACGGCUAACUACGUG
rnacentral:rRNA from 1 species